AUCCAGAUAACAAGUCCCAAAUAGAACGAAAUGCGCAUCCUGGAU
rfam:Trichobilharzia regenti genome assembly, scaffold: TRE_scaffold0046169